rnacentral:lncRNA from 10 species
CAAAUAUGCCUUUGAAAUCACUAAGUCAUUUCAGUUUUUAUUCCAGGGUCAAAGCACUGACAUCUGCAUUAUUUAGAAGCGGCUUUCAAAACUUUUUUUGCCAUAACUCACAGUAAAAAAAAAUACAUUUUAUAUUGCAACUCAAGUCUAUAAAUUCUUUCAUUCCUUCAACAUAUUGAACACCUACUAUAUGCCAAAUAUAUUUUAUGUGGAAUACAGUAGUGAACGAAGUAAAAGAGGAAGAAAGGAAAGGAGGAAGAGAAAGAAAUAAACAAAAAUUCUUGCUCUCUAAGACUUUACAUACUAGUGGAACAGACAAUAGACAAAAUAAGUAAGCCAGAUGCAGUGGCUCACACCUGUAAUCUCAGCACUUUAGGAGGCCAAGGUGGGAGGAUCGAGAGGACUGCUUGAGGGCUUCCCAGUCCACUGCUGCCCUUUCCCUCACCCUCUGCAGUGCCUGCUCUUCUCCUCUCAUUCUGAAACCUUGCUCUGCACGUGGAGCAGCUCUUCCUUCCCUUGUCAGGUAAAAAUCACAUGAAUACUUCUAAGCCUAGCCAGACCGCACUGCGUUCCAGGAUGCCUCUCUCAGGCCACUACUGCAUUCUGGCUCGCUUGAUUGAUUGAUUUAGAGACAGGGUCUCACUCUGUUGCCAAGUUGUGCAAUCAUGGCCCACUGCAGCCUCAACCUCCCAGGCUCAAGCAAUCCUCCCACCUCAGCCUCCCGAGUGGCUGGGACUCUAUGCAUGCACCAGCACACCUAGCCAAUCUUUUUUUUUUUUUUUUAAUUUUUUAGUAGAGACAGGGGUCUCACUAUGUUGCCUAGGCUGUGGCUUGCUUUAUAACUAUUGGUGUACCAGAAUAGGAUCCUCUGCACGGUGACCUCCUAAAAGAGCAGGUACCAGUCACCUUUGUGUCCCCCAAAGCACAGUACUUUAUCUGUAGGUAUUAAUAAAUACAUAGGAAAUUGAAUUGAAUUUGUAACUCAAAGCAGAGGGGUGGAGAGAAGUGCUUCCUAGCCAGGAAUACAGGAUUUAGGCCAUAUCUAUUUAAAAGAAGACUAACAAACAGACUAGAAACGAUAACACUGGUAAAAAGAUCUCUUUACCUGAGCUACAAAAGUCAUACAUUAGGUAGAGGCUUCAAUAGUGUAGAAAAUAUACUAAUGUGUUAUCUCCUUAGAGACAGAUUUAGAACCAUGUCAGUUAUGUUGCAGAUGACAGAGAACAGAAACCUAGUGAAAUCAACUCAAGACAAUGAGGGCUACCAUAAGGAGGCCCAAGGAGUAGUUGGAUGGACCUGAGGAAGGACAGGAGCCAGAGGCCCCCUGAGGAGCUCUGCGCCGCAGAAGUAAGGCUAUCCUCGCUGCAAUGGUGACCAUUACAAUGGGGACAGUUGCCACCUCAUCAAAAUGAAGGAAAUCAGUUCAAAUUCUAAAAAAAACCUACAUGGCACAGCCAAUUCUAGAAUUGUCCACUCUUGCUUCACUUGGUUUGAGUAGGAUGGGGCUGUGUGUUUGAAAACAUCUAAGGAAGAAAGGGGGGAACAAACUCUCUGAAAAGAAAGUAGAACUUUCACUAAAUAUUGACCCAAACUGGAAUUUUCAGUUUUACGCUACCACCAGAGAGGAUGGGACUCAAGGCCAAGAUAAGGUCAGUUACAAAAAGUUAUAUAAAAUACUGUAUCUGUGAUACAGUGUAAAAUAUCAUUUCAAUCCUAUUAAAAGUUAAAAAAAAUGUAGAUUUUAGCUAAAUGACCUCUAAGUUUCAGGGAUCUACAAACCCAUGCGUGUAUAAAUAUAUCACGAAAAUCUGUACAAGAUAUUUCAUAGAAUUCUCUAUCUCAUGGUUUUCAGACUUUAUUUUGAAUCAGAUUCUAAUUCUGUAGGACUAGGGUAGGGUAGUGGGACUGCAUACUUAAAUAAGCACCCCAGAUACUGCUAAAGAUGGGUCAUGUUGAGAGACUUUCUUAACCUAAUCCCUUCCUACUUAAUUAAAAAGGAGCUCGACUUGCAUAAGUUUUCUUUUUCUUUUUUUCUUUGAGACAAAGACUCACUGUCACCCAGGCUGGAGUGCAG